GGUGCUCGAGUGGCGAACGGGUGAGUAACACGUGAGUAACCUGCCCUUGACUUUGGGAUAACUUCAGGAAACUGGGGCUAAUACCGGAUAGGAGCUCUGCUGCAUGGUGGGGGUUGGAAAGUUUCGGCGGUUGGGGAUGGACUCGCGGCUUAUCAGCUUGUUGGUGGGGUAGUGGCUUACCAAGGCUUUGACGGGUAGCCGGCCUGAGAGGGUGACCGGCCACAUUGGGACUGAGAUACGGCCCAG
rnacentral:rRNA from 1 species